GACGAACGCUGGCGGCGUGCUUAACACAUGCAAGUCGAACGGAAGGGCCCUGCGUUUGUGGUGUUCUCGAUUGGCGAAGGGGUGAGUAACACGUGAGUAACCUGCCCUUGUCUUUGGGGUAACUUCAGGAAACUGGGGCUAAUACCGGAUAGCAUCUCCUGCUGCAUGGUGGUGGUUGGUAAGUUUCGGCGGUGGGGGAUGGACUCGCGGCUUACCAGCUGGUUGGUGGGGUAGUGGCUUUCCCAGGCUUUGACGGGUAGCCGGCCUGAGAGGGUAACCGGCGACCUUGCGACUGCGAUACGCAGCAGACUCGAAUGGGAGGCAACAGUGGGGAACCUGGCACAACGGCCGGAAGCCUGAGACGGCAACCCCGCGUGCGGGAUGACCGCUUUCGGGUUGAAAACAGCUUUCGCCUGUGACGAAGCGUGAGUGACGGUACCGAGUAAAGAAGCACCGGCUAACUACGUG
rnacentral:rRNA from 1 species